rnacentral:tRNA from 1 species
ACUUGGAUAAAUUGUAAUUCCUCCUUGUACCUUUAAUUGACAUAGACCCCA